rnacentral:pre_miRNA from 1 species
UGGUUUUUUUAGGUUUUGAUUUUCGUAGCGAUGGAGGAGGAAAUCAAAACCUAAAGAAAAUA